UACGUAGGGUGCGAGCGUUAAUCGGAUUACUGGGCGUAAAGCGUGCGCAGGCGGUUUUGUAAGCCAGAUGUGAAAUCCCCGGGCUUAACCUGGGAAUGGCAUUUGGGACUGCAAGGCUUGAGUGCGGCAGAGGAGACUGGAAUUCCUGGUGUAGCAGUGAAAUGCGUAGAUAUCAGGAGGAACACCGGUGGCGAAGGCAGGUCUCUGGGCUGACACUGACGCUCAUGCACGAAGCGUGGGGAGCAAACAGG
rnacentral:rRNA from 1 species